CCCAAAACCAUCAAAAAUUUUUACUACUCUUCCACUCUCUCUCUUAAAAAUUUCGGCCAAACCAAACCACCCUCACACCAACUUCAUUUCAAACUUCAAAUUCAAGAGUUCUUGCACAUAUGAAGAUCCAUGGAUGAAAGAAGCUUCAAGGGUGUUUAGAAAAGCUAUUAGGAGCCUUCUUGGUGGAACUUGAAGUUUAAAAUCAUCAAGAUUUUUCUUAUCUUCAUCCUUAUUUCCUAGCAAAAAUUGUCGAGAAACGAACCGCGAACAAGGAAUCGAAUAGAGAUUUGCACGGAACGCAAAUCUGAGAUUAGUGCACGGCUUUGGGAAAAUAUGUUCAAGUGGUUAUCAAGAACGCAAGCUUUUGUGAUGUCAUCCGUUUUUAGUGUUAUGUUUUGAACUUUGAAUAAUGUAGUUAAAGUUGUUGUUGUUUCAAGUUUCAAACAAGACAUAUGUAAUGUAA